rnacentral:rRNA from 1 species
AUGGCCAAGAUCAUGUCACCUAUCUACUCUGAAACGCUUAUCCAAGAUAUCAGCACAAUGUCGGCAUGGCAAGAUUUGGUAAAUGGGGGGUUCAGAGUGGUGCACCGGCUCAUCCGUGCUACUGAGUGGACUGGCAGAAGGCUGGCCCAUGAAAUCUCUUGUAGCGAGCAGGCUGUGAGCAACCUUGAGAGGAUUCUUGAUCAAGGCAGCACAGCUAGCCAAACACUGCAGAUUCAGGCUAUAGAGAUACUGACAGAAUUGGCUUUGGAUCCGCCUAUCAAUCUCGCCACGGAAACAAAAGAAAAACUGAUUAAUAAGCAGUUGAAGGUCUUCCUUAAUGAAGGGACAGAAGAAAACCUUAAAGUUACGGCUGGGAAAACACUGGCAUUAUUAUCCAAGACAGCAACUAUCUCUGUGUGCAUAAUGAGCAAAUACAAUAACAUUGCUGAUCAAGUCACUGAAAUGCUUGAUGCUAAGAACAAGAUCAUUUACAGAACAAUAGCAGCUGAGAUCUUGGAGAAUUUGUGUACUCACCAUGCAAUGGACACGGAACACGUGAGGGACACCUUGCUGCCAAAGGUGCUAACAGAAGUUCUAACCAGUAAAAAGAAACCCCCAUCGGAAGCAUCUCAAAGGCAGUUUCCUUGGUGGGCUAGGUUACUAAUGCGAAGGCAUCUAUCUGUAGAACAACGUCGUAAAAGAAAAUCCAAAGCAUCAGGAGAUGUUGACGAAAAUCCACAGCAAGACGACGAAGAAAAUCAACAUUUCGAACAUAAUAGCCAAAUCAAUUUAUCCGAGCAAAAGGAGACGCAUACAGCUACGAUGGAAUUGAAGGAAGCAUUGUUAUCCCUUACUUUGGUGAUAUGUGACAAACUGAUAAUUAGCGCAGACGACUUUGAUGAUGUGGCUCGGAAUGUUUCCUCGGGAGAAGGUCAAUUUGUGGCGAAGCUCAAAACUGUAGUAGAAGAGAACUGUGAAGCCACCGCUAAUAGCCUGAGAAUCGUAAGCUUUGCGGUCAGAUUGCUGUUACAGUGA